rnacentral:rRNA from 1 species
CUUCCGUAAGGGGAACCUGCGGAAGGAUCAUUAAAGAGUAAGGGUGCUCAGCGCCCGACCUCCAACCCUUUGUUGUUAAAACUACCUUGUUGCUUUGGCGGGACCGCUCGGUCUCGAGCCGCUGGGGAUUCGUCCCAGGCGAGCGCCCGCCAGAGUUAAACCAAACUCUUGUUAUUAAACCGGUCGUCUGAGUUAAAAUUUUGAAUAAAUCAAAACUUUCAACAACGGAUCUCUUGGUUCUCGCAUCGAUGAAGAACGCAGCGAAAUGCGAUAAGUAAUGUGAAUUGCAGAAUUCAGUGAAUCAUCGAAUCUUUGAACGCACAUUGCGCCCCUUGGUAUUCCGAGGGGCAUGCCUGUUCGAGCGUCAUUACACCACUCAAGCUAUGCUUGGUAUUGGGUGCCGUCCUUAGUUGGGCGCGCCUUAAAGACCUCGGCGAGGCCUCACCGGCUUUAGGCGUAGUAGAAUUUAUUCGAACGUCUGUCAAAGGAGAGGACUUCUGCCGACUGAAACCUUUAUUUUUCUAGGUUGACCUCGGAUCAGGUAGGGAUACCCGCUGAACUUAAGCAUAUCAAUGAGCGGAGGAAA